UGGGGAAUUUUGGACAAUGGGCGAAAGCCUGAUCCAGCAAUGCCGCGUGCAGGAAGAAGGCCUUCGGGUUGUAAACUGCUUUUGUACGGAACGAAACGGCUCUUUCUAAUAAAGAGGGCUAAUGACGGUACCGUAAGAAUAAGCACCGGCUAACUACGUGCCAGCAGCCGCGGUAAUACGUAGGGUGCGAGCGUUAAUCGGAAUUACUGGGCGUAAAGCGUGCGCAGGCGGUUAUAUAAGACAGUUGUGAAAUCCCCGGGCUCAACCUGGGAAUUGCAUCUGUGACUGUAUAGCUAGAGUACGGUAGAGGGGGAUGGAAUUCCGCGUGUAGCAGUGAAAUGCGUAGAUAUGCGGAGGAACACCGAUGGCGAAGGCAAUCCCCUGGACCUGUACUGACGCUCAUGCACGAAAGCGUGGGGAGCAAACAGG
rnacentral:rRNA from 1 species